rnacentral:rRNA from 1 species
GAUGAACGCUGGCGGCGCGCCUAACACAUGCAAGUCGAACGAGUAAGACGCCUUCGGGCGUGCAUAGAGUGGCGAACGGGUGAGUAACACGUGACCAACCUGCCCCCUCCUCCGGGACAACCUCGGGAAACCGAGGCUAAUACCGGAUACUCCGGGCCCCCCGCAUGGGGAGCCCGGGAAAGCCCUGGCGGGAGGGGAUGGGGUCGCGGCCCAUCAGGUAGACGGCGGGGUAACGGCCCACCGUGCCUACUACGGGUAGCCGGGCUGAGAGGCCGAUCGGCCACAUUGGGACUGAGACACGGCCCAGACUCCUACGGGAGGCAGCAGUGGGGAAUUUUGCGCAAUGGGGGCAACCCUGACGCAGCGACGCCGCGUGCGGGACGAAGUCAUUCGUGACGUAAACCGCUUUCAGCGAGGAAGAACC